rnacentral:rRNA from 1 species
UACGGAGGGUGCAAGCGUUAUCCGGAUUUACUGGGUUUAAAGGGUGCGUAGGUGGCGUCGUAAGUCAGGUGUGAAAUCUCGGGCUCACCCGAAACUGCACUUGAUACUGCGAUGCUCGAGUACUGGAGAGGAGAUUGGAAUUACGGUGUAGCAGUGAAAUGCGUAGAUAUCGUAAGGAAGACCAGUGGCGAAGGCGAAUCUCUGGACAGUUACUGACACUGAGGCACGAAGGCCAGGGAGCAAACGGG